rnacentral:rRNA from 1 species
CUCAAAUUUGAAAUCUGGCUCUCGGGCCCGAGUUGUAAUUUGUAGAGGAUGCUUUUGAUGCGGUGCCUUCCGAGUUCCCUGGAACGGGACGCCAUAGAGGGUGAGAGCCCCGUCUGGUUGGAUGCCAAAUCUCUGUAAAGCUCCUUCGACGAGUCGAGUAGUUUGGGAAUGCUGCUCUAAAUGGGAGGUAUAUGUCUUCUAAAGCUAAAUACCGGCCAGAGACCGAUAGCGCACAAGUAGAGUGAUCGAAAGAUGAAAAGCACUUUGAAAAGAGAGUUAAAAAGUACGUGAAAUUGUUGAAAGGGAAGCGUUUAUGACCAGACUUGGGCUUGGAUAAUCAUCUGGGGUUCUCUCCAGUGCACUUUUCCAGUCCAGGCCAGCAUCAGUUUUCGCCGGGGGAUAAAGGCUUCGGGAAUGUGGCUCUCUCCGGGGAGUGUUAUAGCCCGUUGCGUAAUACCCUGGCGGGGACUGAGGUUCGCGCAUCUGCAAGGAUGCUGGCGUAAUGGUCAUCAACGACCCG